AAACCGUUGAAAGGGAAGCGAAUGGAGUUAGCAAUUCGCCCCGCCAGAUUCAGUUGCUCGCACGUCGCGACGUACGCGCCCUCGAUCCGCAUGGACGAGGCGUGUGCGGGUGCGACGUGCGGUCUGCGCACUUCUGGCGAGCGAGCGUCAGCGUCGGUUGUCGACGGGCGACAAGGACGCGGGGAAGGUGGACUGGCCUUCGCGGCCGGUUGUUACAGCCCCGUGCUCGCAUAGCUCGACGGCGACCGUGGCUCGGCGACGCGUGCCUGGCUGGUGACUCGAACGAUCGGUCCGGCAUGUCGACCGUGGCGGACGGCACGCCUGUGCGCUCAAACCGCUGCCGGCCGAUCGGACGAUGUUCACACACUACGCGUCAAUGAUGCUGACGGCCAUACGGCUCCAUCCGACCCGUCUUGAAACACGGACCAAGGAGUCUAACAUGUGCGCGAGUCUCCGGGUGAUCGAAACCCGUGGGCACAAUGAAAGUAAAGAUCGUCCUAGACGAUUGAGGUGAGAAGCGAGAACGCCUCGGCGCCUCGCGGCAUCAUCGACCGACCUAUUCUGCUCUCAGAGAGGUUUGAGUAAGAGCGUAUCUGUUGGGACCCGAAAGAUGGUGAACUAUGCCUGAAUAGGGUGAAGCCAGCGGAAACACUGG
rnacentral:rRNA from 1 species